AACUAGAUUUGCCAUUGCAAGCAAUAGCGGAUGGCACCCUUCCCCUAUUGCCAAGUGAGCGGCAGCAAUCUAAAAGAUUUCAAAGUGAAAGAGUGCAUCUACACAUUCAAAUUAUCAUUUUUGUAAAGUUUCAUCAAGUUUGAAGCAUUUUGAAAUUUUGGACAAUUUUGCUGUUUCCAUGGUUACGGCGGCCAUUUUGAAAAUUCCAAACUCAAAAGUCAAGUCUACAUAAGCUAGGCAACAUUUGUUAUAAGUUUCAUUAAAUUUAAAGCAUUUUGAAGUUUUUCAUAUUUUUGCUGUUUCCAUGGUAACGGCGGCCAUUUUGAAUAUUCCAAAGUCAAACCCCCGCUGCAAUUUUUUCCCUCCAUAAUCAUAUACCAUUUAAUGUCUCUAGAAUAAAUUUAACAUUAAUGUUCUGGAAUGUUCUGUGAAAAUUCAAAGUUUUGACCUUUUUGCAUUGUUUCCAUGGUAACAACAGCUAUUUUGGAAAUUCCAACUCCAAAUGCCACAUCUUCCAAUGUUGCUCAUCGUUACUGUGAAGUUUCGUGAAGUUUGGAGCAUUUUGAGAUUUUUGAAAUUUUUGGUGUAGUUCCCAUGGCGACAUAGUAGUUCCAAUGAGUGCCAAAAUCAUCCAACACCUGUAUAUAGUGGGCACCUACAUUGUAUUAAAAUAUGAUGAUUCUGAGUUAAAGCAUUACCAUACAGUUCACCAAAACUAAAAACUGUAUUUUUUCACAUUUGUUCUGUUUCCAUGGUAACGGCAGCCAUUUUUUACCAUUCCAAUGUCUCUUGCACAACUUCACAUGGCGGUUCAUAUUAUGGUAUAGUUCCAUCAACAUUGGUUUGACCAAUUCCGAGAAAUAGCAUGGACAAAAUGUGUGGAAGAAUAAAAAUAAUAACUAGAUUUGUAAUUGCUAGCAAUAACGGAUGGCACCCUCGUCCCCCAUUGCCAGGCGAGCGGCAGCCAUUUUGAAAUUUCCAAAGUUAAAGAGCGCAUUUACAGAUGUCUAUCAACGUUGUUGUAAAAUUUCAUCAAUUUUGGAGCAUUUUGAAAUUUUUUUGAAUUUUGUGUUGUUUCCAUGGAAACGGCGGC
rnacentral:lncRNA from 1 species